UACAGAGGGGGCAAGCGUUGUUCGGAAUUACUGGGCGUAAAGGGCUCGUAGGCGGCCAACUAAGUCACACGUGAAAUCCCUCAGCUUAACUGGGGAACUGCGUGUGAUACUGGAUGGCUUGGAUUUGGGAGAGGGAUGCGGAAUUCCAGGUGUAGCGGUGAAAUGCGUAGAUAUCUGGAGGAACACCGGUGGCGAAGGCGGCAUCCUGGACCAAUAUUGACGCUGAGGAGCGAAAGCCAGGGGAGCAAACGGG
rnacentral:rRNA from 1 species